rnacentral:rRNA from 1 species
AACGGCCGCGGUAUCCUAACCGUGCAAAGGUAGCAUAAUCACUUGCCUAUUAAUUGUAGGCUAGAAUGAAUGGGUUAACGAAAUAAAGACUGUCUCAAUUAAUCACCUAAAAAUUACUAUCUAUUUGAAGAAGAGUAGAUAAUCUCGAAGGACAAGAAGACCCUAUAGAGCUUAAUUUUAAUUAUAGAGCUACACUAUAAAAAUAUUCGGUUGGGGCGACCCAGGGCUAAUCAAUCACCCACUACAUAAAAGAUAAAUUAAUCAAGUAAUUGACCCCUAAAAGAUCAUAAGAACAAGCUACCUUAGGGAUAACAGGCUAAUCCCACUCAAGAGUCCUUAUCAACAGUGGGGUUUGGCACCUCGAUGUUGGCUUAGG